GUAGGGAAUAUUGGGCAAUGGAAGCAAUUCUGACCCAGCCAUGCCGCGUGAAGGAAUACAGCCCUAUGGGUUUUAAACUUCUUUUAUUAUAGAGUAAACGGAGGUACGUGUACCUCCCUGCAAGUAUAUGAUGAAUAAGGAUCGGCUAACGCCGUGCCAGCAGCCGCGGUAAUACGGAGGAUCCCAGCGUUAUCCGGAUUUAUUGUGUUUAAAGGGUGCGCAGGCGGAUCAAUAAGUCAGGGGUGAAAAAUUUCAGCUUAACUGGAAUCGUGCCUUUGAUACUGUUGGACUAGAGUAUAAAUGACGUGACUGGAAUGUGAUGUGUAGCGGUGAAAUGCUUAGAUAUGUCACAGAACGCCAAUCGUGAAGACAGGUCACGAAAUUAUUACUGACGCUCAUGCACGAAAGCGUGGGGAUCAAACAGGAUUAGAUACCCGGGUAGUCC
rnacentral:rRNA from 1 species